rnacentral:rRNA from 1 species
ACUCAAAUGAAUUGACGGGGAAGUGCACAACCAGGGGAGCAUGUGGUUUAAUUCGUUACUAAGCGAUGGACCUUACCCAGAUUUGACAUGUUACCGUUUAGUCGUUUGGAAACAGAUGAUGAUCCACCAAAAGUGGAUGGUAACACAGCUGUUGCAUGGCUGUCUUCAGCUCGUGCCGUAGGGUGUCUGCUUAAGUGCAGGAACGAGCGCAACCCUUACUCUGUGUUCAAUAGUCACAGGGGACUGCCUUGAUUCAAUCAGGGAGGAAGGAGGGGAUGACGUCAAGUCAGCAUGACGCUUACGUCUGGGGCCACACACAUCCUACAAUGGAGAGUAACAAUGGGUCGCCAAACCGCGAGGUGGAGCCAAUCCCAUCAAACCUCUCCUCAGUUCAGAUUACAGGCUGCAACUCGCCUGUAUGAAGCCGGACUUGGUAGUAAUCGCGAAUCAGCAGAUCGCGGUGAAUACGUUCUCACUUCUUGUACACACCGCCCGU